UACCAACUACGUUUCCAGCUAGCUGCCUUCAAGUUCUUUGUAAAUAAAGUGACAUUUUUCAAGGUCAGUGAAAUUUGGAUAAUGAUGUUGUCUGACACUACUUGGUACCAGCAUUUUUAUGAACUAAGUAUGGAUGGAGGAAUAAAAUAGGUUGAUGAGACCUUUUAAUGUUGCCUCAGUUGCUCCACUCUGGCACUCUAGGGGAUGAUGUCUGUCUCUGUGGAAGUUGUAUUUGAAGGUAAAUUUUUGCUGAAUAAAAACUAAUGUGUCCUUAUAGUUGUGAGGCAGGAGGUGUUUCUUCAUGUUGCCACUGUUCCCAGGGGCGGAUCCACAAUUUUUCAAACAGGAUGGGGAAGGGGAUGCAACAGUUUCAGAAUAGGGCCACCAUGACAAUGGAUAAGCAGAAUCAAGCAUCCCAUCAUGGCCUAAAAGAUACCG